rfam:TPA: Bos taurus chromosome 13, whole genome shotgun sequence.
UCCCAAGUGGCUCAAUUGGUAAAGAAUCUGCCUGCAAUACAGGAAACUCAAGUUCAAUCCCUGGGUUGGGAA